GCAGUGAGGAAAUCAUGUAUACAGUUUCCAGCCAAAGUAAUGGCUUCAGCUUAGCCAAGUUUAACCUUUUUAUUUUUUAUAUUCUGAACUCCACAGCGCUGUGUUUACUGUUUACAUAAAGCCUGUAUGAACUCUGUUCUAAUAAACUAACCACACAUUAUAGACAGUGCUUCUAUUAAUUCACACUCCAAAGCGCUGUCGUUUUGUUAUUAAUUCACAUUAAUGUUAAUCUCAUUGAUUUAUUAAAAGUUAUGUUUACCUGCUCUCUCUGCGUUCCGGGGGUCCUCAGCUGAGAUGUGGGAUACAAGGACCCGUUUCACCCCUACCAUGUUCAUGAAAUUGAUGUCGAGCCUUAUAAAUGUGUUGCUCUGCUCUAGCUGAAGAGGCCAGGUCGAACAAUUCUUUUUUGAUAAAGGUCAGGAGUAGGAGCCACAGCAAGCUGUAUGUCUAUAUCUUCCAUGUUUACAGCUUCUUUGACAACACCAGUUGUAAAAAGCGCUAUACAAAUAACUUUGAUUUGAUUUGGUUCAGAGAGUUCCAUUAUCUUAGUCAAAGUUUUUCCUUUUCUUAUUUGAGCCAUAACUAAUAAUUUGACCCCGCAAAAAUGCCUUCAUUGCUUUCCACUGCACGGGGGGGAAGGGGGGUUCCUAGCACCAAUCAGCUCUCUCAUGUAGCUUGGUGUUAGCACUUUUUGAGUGGACUCUGCUCUUUUAAAAUGCUGGAUAAUCUUGAGCACUGUGCAGCAGCUCAGUUUUAGGGUGUUGGCAAUCCUCUUGUAGUUUUGGCCAUCUUCAUGUGGGGGAACAAUUCUUUUUUUAAGAUCCUCAGAGAGUUCUUUGCCAUGAGGUGCCAUGUUGAAACUUUCAGUGACAAGUAUGAGAGAGUGUAAGAGUUGUACUACAAAAUUGUGUGUGUGUGUGUGUGUGUGUGUGUGUGUGUUUGUAUUUCAGAUUCUGUGUAAAGGUCAGAAGAUCUUGCUAAAGAGCAUCAGUCUGAGUCGCCCUGGCGCUCUCUCUCACAGCCAGCAGAGCCAGCUAGAGGCCGAAUGUACAGAGCUGGAUCCUGAAGUGGCUGCUGCACUGCACAUGCUGCAAUCCCACAACCUUGGCUUAGACGUCUGACAGGACAGAGAAGACACUUUACACCAGAGGUCGACUUGAUAAAUCAGCUGGUUGAUGAUGAUAAUUGGGCUGAUGACCUGCAGUUUGUGUGAGAAUAUAACAGUAUACUGUUCUAACGGAGACACACACUUAUAGAUAAUGAUAUGACAAUAAUAUAUACUGGAGAACUGGAACACUAAACUCAAUCAUACCUAUAAAAAACAUACAAAUGCAAUAUCAGCAUCAGAGAAACGUUAUAAUACAGAAACACUGCUGCAGUAUUGUAAUGUUUAAGGCUGUACGUUCUGACUUAUCUUUCAGUUCUGAUAAUCAAUAGGGUAAUAUUUACUGUUAUAAUUUGAUGUACAAUUAAAGUACACAGUUUGACACAGUAAUCUGGUUUCACUGAUCACAUUUAUUUGUGUGCAGAUAUUUUAAUG
rnacentral:lncRNA from 1 species